rfam:Sulfitobacter sp. H3 contig2, whole genome shotgun sequence.
CCGUGGGACACCCUUCCCCAACGAAGGGCGAUUAUCUGAGAGGAUAGCAGAA